UACGAAGGGGGCUAGCGUUGUUCGGAUUUACUGGGCGUAAAGCGCACGUAGGCGGAUCGUUAAGUGAGGGGUGAAAUCCCAGGGCUCAACCCUGGAACUGCCUUUCAUACUGGCGAUCUUGAGUCCGGAAGAGGUGAGUGGAACUCCUAGUGUAGAGGUGGAAUUCGUAGAUAUUAGGAAGAACACCAAUGGCGAAGCAGCUCGCUGGGACGGUACUGACGCUGAGGCGCGAAAGCGUGGGGAGCAAACAGG
rnacentral:rRNA from 1 species